GCUGGGUGUGGUAGUGCACACCUGUAAUCCUAGCUACUUGGGAGACUGAAGCAGGAGGCUCAAGACCAGCCUCAGUAACUUAGCAAGGCCCUCAGCAACUUAGUGAGACCCUAUCUCAA
rnacentral:sRNA from 1 species